AUUGAGCGCUGGCGGCAUGCUUUACACAUGCCAGUCGAACGGUAACAGGCCGCAAGGUGCUGACGAGUGGCGAACGGGUGAGUAAUGCAUCGGAACGUGCCCAGUCGUGGGGGAUAACUACUCGAAAGAGUAGCUAAUACCGCAUACGAUCUAUGGAUGAAAGCGGGGGACCGUAAGGCCUCGCGCGAUUGGAGCGGCCGAUGUCAGAUUAGGUAGUUGGUGGGGUAAAGGCUCACCAAGCCAACGAUCUGUAGCUGGUCUGAGAGGACGACCAGCCACACUGGGACUGAGACACGGCCCAGACUCCUACGGGAGGCAGCAGUGGGGAAUUUUGGACAAUGGGCGCAAGCCUGAUCCAGCAAUGCCGCGUGCAGGAAGAAGGCCUUCGGGUUGUAAACUGCUUUUGUACGGAACGAAACGGCUCUGGUUAAUACCCGGGGCUAAUGACGGUACCGUAAGAAUAAGCACCGGCUAACUACGUG
rnacentral:rRNA from 1 species